AUUGAACGCUAGCGGGAUGCUUUACACAUGCAAGUCGAACGGAGUGGCGGACGGGUGAGUAAUAUAUCGAAACGUGCCCAGUCGCGGGGGAUAACUACUCGAAAGAAUGGCUAAUAACGCAUAAUCUUAGAACGGCCGAUAUCGGAUUAGAUAGUUGGUGUGGUAAAGUCUCAACAAGGCCACGAUCCGUAGCUGGUUUGAGAGGACGAACAGCCACACUGGGAAUGAGACACGGCCCAGACUCCUACGGGUGGAAGCAGGGGGGAAUUUUGGACAAUGGGGGAAACCCUGCUCCAGCCAUCCCGCGUGUAGGAUGAAGGCCGUCGGGUUGUAAAGUACUUUUGGCAGAGAAGCGGUAUCUGCAGAAUAAGCACCGGCUAACUACGUGCCAGCAGCCGCGGUAAUAC
rnacentral:rRNA from 1 species